ensembl:snRNA U4 U4 spliceosomal RNA
AGCUUUGCGCAGUGGCAGUAUCGUAGCCAAUGAGGUUUAUCCGAGGCGCGAUUAUUGCUAAUUGUAUUAUGGAUUUCUCAGGGUAUAUGCCCAGUAGUGGGAUUGCUAGGUCGGAUGGUAGUUCUAUUUUUAGUUUUUUAAGGAA